rnacentral:rRNA from 1 species
GACGAACGCUGGCGGCGUGCCUACUACAUGCAAGUCGAACGCAGUGGGGACGGGUGAGUACCACGUGGGUAACCUCCCCUCAGAGGGGAUAACACUUGGAAACAGGUGCUAAACCGAUACUGAUGGAUGAACCCGCGGUGCAUUAGCUAUUUGGUGAGGUAACGGCUCACCAAGGCCACGAUGCAUAGCCGACCGUAGCGGGUGAUAUUCCACACUGGGACGGAGACACGGCCCAGACGCCUACGGUAGUCAGCAGUAGGGAAUCGUCGGCAAUGGACGAAAGUCUGACCGAGCAAUGCCGCGUGAGUGAAGAAGGUUUUCGGAUCGUAAAACUCUGUUGUUAGAGAAGCGGUAUCUAACCAGAAAGCCACGGCUAACUACGUGCCAGCCGCCGCGGUAAUUC